rnacentral:rRNA from 1 species
GACGAACGCUGGCGGCGUGCCUAAUACAUGCAAGUAGAACGCUGAAGGAGGAGCUUGCUUCUCUGGAUGAGUUGCGAACGGGUGAGUAACGCGUAGGUAACCUGCCUGGUAGUGGGGGAUAACUAUUGGAAACGAUAGCUAAUACCGCAUAAUAUUGACUAUUGCAUGAUAGUCAGUUGAAAGGUGCAACUGCACCACUACCAAAUGGACCUGCGUUGUAUUAGCUAGUUGGUGGGGUAACGGCUCACCAAGGCGACGAUACAUAGCCGACCUGAGAGGGUGAUCGGCCACACUGGGACUGAGACACGGCCCAGACUCCUACGGGAGGCAGCAGUAGGGAAUCUUCGGCAAUGGACGGAAGUCUGACCGAGCAACGCCGCGUGAGUGAAGAAGGUUUUCGGAUCGUAAAGCUCUGUUGUAAGAGAAGAACGAGUGUGAGAGUGGAAAGCUCACACUGUGACGGUAGCUUACCAGAAAGGGACGGCUAACUACGUG